AGAAAAUUAGUUAAUUAUAUAUAACAUUAAUAUGUCAAAUUAAAAUUAUCAAUCCUUGAUAUUUUCUA
rnacentral:tRNA from 1 species